CUGUGCUAUUGUGCAAUCAGGAUUUUCUUUUAUUAUAUUAGUUGUUCUGUCUCAACUCUGAAGCCAUCAAGAGUCCAGGUAUCGAUGGACUCAAAACAA